UGAAAAAUAUCGGGCAAUGACACCGUUCAUCGCCUUCCUCUGCCCUUCGUUCUUUGCUCUCUCGCACGAAACCAGCAGAGCCCCCAGAAUCGACAAUCCCGGCCGGAAGACGGAGAGCUGAACCCCAUCACCGGUGUUAGUUGAGGGUGUGACGGUUAUUGGCCAUCGAUUUUCUCUUACAGUAAACAGACGAAGAUGGAGAGCUGACGAGGGUUAUUGAAAUCAAAACCCCAUCACCGGAAGAGGGAGAGCUGAACCCCAUCACUGGUGUUAGUUGAGGGUGUGACGGUUAUUGGCCAUCGAUUCUCUCUUACAGAAAACAAACGAAGACGGAGAGCUGACGAGGGUUAUUGGAAUCAAAGCCCCAUCACCGGAAGACGGAGAGCUGACGAUGGUGGUGACGGUAGCGGCGACGCAUGCGAGUAAGAGGAGGCGGAGGAAGGAGAGACGGAGAGACGGAGAGCUGAAACCGGCAAUCCUUAGAUGGAGGAACUCACUUGUUCAGUAUUAGAAUGAUAGUGUACCUCUUAAUAUGUGAAAAGAAUGGUUCAUCCGAUUGUUCCCUAGAAGACUGCUAUGAGAUACUCCUGUAUUAAGAUAAUAAGAUCCUCUCUCUCUUUCUAAAGUUUCCCUGCUAUGAGAUACUCUUGUGUUAAAAUUUCCACCCAUUUUUCCCUUCUCAUUCCACCAAAAUCUUCCCUCAAACCAAACAAACAUGAUAUCCUAGUGCUGAGUUUCGCAAGAAAUUUCAGUCCUCUCCACCCUCUCUUUUCACUGCUUUUAUUUUUAUUCUAUUUCCAAGUUAUUUUAAUUGACAACCCUUAUCUAUUGCAUUUGCAUUGUAGAUUUAUGAUAUGUUUUGUUCAUUAGAUUGUUGUAUUAAAUAAUCUAAUGGAAAUUUUGAUACC